rnacentral:rRNA from 2 species
UGGUGGCUAUGGCGAGAGGGUCCCACCUGUUCUCAUUCCGAACACAGAAGUUAAGCCUCUCAGCGCCGAUGGUACUUGGUUGGACACGACCCGGGAGAGUAGGACGCUGCCA